CUUCUAGUUCUUUUUUUCUUUUUCUUUUUCUUUUUUAAUAUGAUUUUAUUGCAUAAUCAUAUCUCCAUUUUAUAAGCAUUUUCUCUCUUCUGUUUGUUACAUGCGAUAUGGUAUGUAUUACACAAAAUUAAUUAAUCUCUCUUUUUCUUAAUUUGUUGGCAUAUACAUUUUUAUUAGUAACCUUCUUCAAUUCCACAUGAUUUCAUAUUUGCCUUUGUAACCUUUAUUUUGUGAUUCUAACAUUUCUCAACUCCAAACCUUAACUGACUGAUUAUUUAUUUAUUUAUAAGUUCAUUUAGUCCAUCUAUCUCAGUUAGCUUGAAAUGUUUUUGUUAUUAAUUUGCAAAGUCUAUGUUAUUUAUGAUUAUUGCUUGUUAACUCUGAAUAAAUUUUUGAUGUGACAGGGUUUAUUUCUUAUACGAGGUCAAUUAAUGGCAUGAGUAGUUUCGGAAAAGUGUGUUGCCCACUGAAGAUGAGGCUGCAUCUGCCUUGCACCGGAGGAGUACCAAUAUAUUUUAGUUAUCAUUACAGAUCCUCAACACAAAUUAACGCAAGUUAAACUGUUAUCCCUAACCAAUUAAACUGUAUGCAAGUUAAAAAUUUGGAAUAACUUGUGAAAUAUUAUGAAAUACCUUAACUCUUUGGCUCUUUGGUGGACUUUUCUCAACAACUACUCGCUCUGCAGCUUUGCAAGUUCUUGUAUUAUGUCCAUAAUCCAAGCAUUUUGAACACUUUCACUUUUUCUUUUGACCUGCUCAGAUGGGUUGAACAUCACUUUUUUUAUUUUUUUGUUUCUCUUCUUUGGUCCUAUUGGUUGGAGGAUGGAUAGGGGUUGUGGGCUCUGUUUAUAGCUGCCUUCUCAUAGACAUGAGGUUGAUUAUUAAGGUGUAUUUCGCUACAUGAAUUAAAGUUGGUGUAAUUGAAAAAAAAAAAAUAGUUCAAUUUUCUAAAUUUUUUUUCUUCAAUUUCACUAAUUUUAAUUUCAAUAUUUCCAUUCUUUGCAACCGUGUAUAUCUUUAUUUUGAAUUGACUUUUGUAAUUUCCACCAUUAAAAAGACUUGAAAAAGCGACCAAAAUUUAGCCCUAUCUGAGCAGGGAUGCACAUAUAUAGCACAUAUAUAGGGAGUUUCCUUCAUGUCUACAAGGCAUACUUGUAGCAUCUCAUUUCAAACUUAACGCACUUAUAUACCAAAAAAAAAACUUUAGGGGAGAUAUUUCUCCAAAUUUUAAAUAUUAGGAAUGUUAUUCUCACUUUGCCCAUAUAAAUAUAUAUAUUCUUUCGGCAAGAAACUCACAUUUUGCCUGAGAUUUAUCUACUUUGCUUUACAUUAGCCACUUUAUAACCAUCAUGUAAUAAAUUGAUCUGUAAUCCAUAAUUACACAAUCAAGCGGUUGAAGACCUUUGGGUGACGGAUGCUAGACCUGGCAAAUGGCAAGUUGUAGCUCCCUCAGAAAAUCUUCUGCGUGCAUUCCAGGGAAUAAUUGAAGGUUUAGAACAAUUUAUUGAGAAAGAGGAUACUCAUACUACGGAGGCACUCUAGAAGAGCAUAUCAAUUUCAGAAGAAGGGGAAGCUAAGCUGACCACACCUUUGACUUUUCCAGAAGAGGAUCAGUUUCUUGCAUUAAGGAAUGAUUUAAUCCAAUUUAGAGAUUUGGUUGAGUUGGCUGCAAGCAGAUUCCCUGGUAUGGGAUAUCCUCGGCCUGGUGUCAUGUUUUUAUUCGAUGAAUUGGUAUCUCGUUACAUCAGCCGAUGCCAGACAGUGGAGGAGUUGAAAGGACAAAUCCAUUGUUUUAUAAUAGCGAGAAGAGAUGCUAUGUUGUGUGAAAAACAUUCACGAUGCUAAAGGUGCAGUAUGGUAUCAUUAGGAGAAUUUCCUUGAUCGGGAGGUGGACAUAUAUGAUCGACUCGCACAUUGCAGUGCAAGGAGAACAACAGCUAUAUAAAAUCCUAGUACAUGGUACCGAAGAUGGCAGUACAGAUCCCAUGUAUUUGGGACCUUGGGCCGCUCUCAUAUUCCAAAGGAAUGUGUAUGAACAUUUGAAUUGCUUUUUCGGAAUAUGCCAGAGUUUGUUCUGAAAUAUUUCUUUGAAAUGGUGGCGAAUUUUUAUGAUGUAAAUCUUAAUUAUGUCAGGGUUAGCUGCCUACGAACCUUGAAAUAUCCUCCAUACCCCCUCGGUCACUAGUAUAUUGGAAGCCUUUUUGCAGUUUUUCAGCAUUUUGGAAAAGAGUUUGUUGUAGCAGGAAUGCCGGAUCCGGUGGAACCAUGGCGUCGUUUGAGAGCGAGGACUCCACUCACAACCACCAGGAUUUCGACUUGAACUUGCCGGAAUAGUCCUCUGCCAAAGAAACUCCAUUUAUCAAUGAUAGCAAAUUAAAGUUCCUCUUAAAUUGAUUAGAUUACAGUAGUUUUUUAAAGAACUUUUUCACUUCUUUAUCUAUACGUUACAUCUUUUUAUUGUGAUCAUUGAGCAGAUUCCCUUGGCAUUCCAUCCCAGCAAAGCUCUUUCACCAACUUUUGUUGAAAGAUACCAAUGAAAUUUUGUACUAAUCACUUUCUCAAUGUAAUUGUAGUGUACAUGCUAAAAUGGGUUUUUUUAGUAAAGUCGAGUCAUGUUUUAUUGCC